rnacentral:rRNA from 1 species
CCUACGGGGGGCAGCAGUUUUUACUUUUUCUCCCUUCUCUUCCUCGUGCCGCCGCGCCGCCGCGUGAAUGACGAAGGCCUUCGGGUCGUAAAGUUCUUUCGACAGGGAAGAAAAUGCCUAUAAGUAACUGUGUAUGUAUUGACGGUACCUGUAUAAGCAGCCCCGGCUAACUCCGUGCCAGCAGCCGCGGUAAUACGGAGGGGGCGAGCGUUGUUCGGAGUGACUGGGCGUAAAGAGCACGUAGGCGGUGUUGUAAGUCAUUAGUCAAAGACUAGAGCUCAACUUUAGUAAGGCUAGUGAUACUAUAAUACUAGAGUAUCAGAGAGGAUUGCAGAAUUCCUGGUGUAGCGGUGAAAUGCGUAGAUAUCAGGAGGAAUACCGUUAGCGAAGGCGGCAAUCUGGCUGGAAACUGACGCUGAGGUGCGAAAGCGUGGGUAGCAAACAGGAUUAGAUACCCCAGUAGUC